ensembl:lncRNA
GUAAAAAAAUAAUAAAAUAAAAAAAAAAUAAAAAAAUACAUUCUGUUGCUUCUAACUCUAUUUUACAAGCAAGUAUAGCUGACAUCAAUCACAGCACAACCACUGACUUUAUCGUGUAUUUGAUUUCAUUAGUGCAGAUUAAUGUUUGAGAGCUGGUUGUGUAGUCUUAUUGGACUGCGUUUCAGUCAUUGUAAUAUUCAUUCCAUUGUCUGACAACAGAAACAUUAAAAUAUAGUAAUAAAAACAGUUUUAUUGAGAAUUAAAUUAAAUGGCUAAAUUAAAUUGCAAUAUGUGAGCAUAGGGAGGCAAUACAAUACGACGCACUUACUUCAUAAAUAUUCUAAUUAGUGCAUGAUGUCAUAUAGUUCAUGUUCUCAUUAUCUUUUUUUUUCACAAAUCGCAUCCUGAUUAUAAAUAGUAAUAGGCUGAAUUGCAAAAAGGUAGUCUCUAUUUCUAAUACAUGUGUAGCCAAGCCACUGGGAGGCGCUGUCGUUCCUAUUAUGAUAGGUAAGGUAACCCUUGAAAUAAGCACGUGCUUCCAAUUAGUAGAUGAGUUGCGUUCAAUGGUUUGUCGUGCAGGUGGUUGUUGGUCGUUGGGAGAACAAUUGCUGGAUGAUGACCAGCCGUGAUUGAGCUUUGGAAACCUGUUUUUAACCUCCAGCUAAACUGCUCAUCCAUGAUCAGUCAAUGGCAGUGGGGCCCAAGGAGGACGAUUGGAUGGGUGUGUGCCUGGUCACCCGUGAGUGCGUAAGUGCAGUUCAAAGAAAAUACCUUUAGGUUAAAUUUCAGUUCCAUUGAGCAUCAUCUGUCCAUCUCUUCAGCAUCCAAGGUCUCCUCUGGAGCCCAGCCAACCUUUAUUACUGAACAGAAGAGGGAAACGGGCCUGUCACAGGAAAGUGAUAAAGCACCAUUACCACACUGCAGAGGAGGAAUGAGGACAGCCUGCUCUGACACAACUCCUUUCAUAAAGAGCUUCGCUCUUAACAUAUUGGACAGCCAGUCAAAGAACUCCAGCAAAGAACAAAAUGACUAGUCCGGCGAAAUCCUUUACUGGUAUUGACAUACCCUCUUUCAUUACACCCCACUGUGCUGUACUGCACCACAGGAAGGGCUCAGACUCAAAAUCUUUGCAUGACAGAUGAAAUAUUUCAUUUCACAAAGCAAGUAAUUUGCACCAUAAUAUGAUGAAUCUGAACGAUCUGGGCAUAAGAGAAAGUAGUUGCACACACACAUAUACACAUAUACAUAUAUAUGUAUAUGUGUAUGUCUGGCAGGCAUACUGCUGCCAUGGUUUGCUUUAGCAUCAUAGUUUAUAUCAGUUUAACCAUAGCGUGCAGCUGAAAUAUAGUCUUUAUUUCUUCGUCCAUAUUUAUCUUCUCGUCGUUUCAAGGCCAUGAAGUAAUGCACGUUAGUUUCCUCAUUUAGUUCCAUGUGAAGAAUUGUGGUGAGAUUUUAUGACUAAGAUCCAUCGUUUUCUGUAGAUGGCAGUAUUAAGUCAAGCAUUUUUCAGUGCAUUGUGCACCUCCCCAUGUCUGCCUGGAAAGAGUGUGCAACUGUAUGUGAGGACAGAAACUAACCUCAGAGACAAAUUCAUGCGUGUCUCUGUGUGUCCACACAACAAUGGAAUUUUUUUUUAACUCAGACUGUAAACAAACAGUUUGAAUGCCAUGGCUUGUUAGAGUGUUUAAACAAAAUAACUGUAUAUGAAUAUAAAAUCUCUCUUUUUUAAUUUCCCUCAUCUAUUUUCACAAGAGCUUGAAUUGUAGCAUAAUUAUAUUAUCUCUAAAGCUUACAGUAGAGAUGUUUAAAGAGACAAUCAUGUAGGCUAUUGUUACAGGAUGACAAAAAGGCUCUCUAACUAUGCUUGCUGAAUUUUAAGUUCAACAUUUGUAUAGAGCCAUCUUAUAAAUAUGACAGAUCGCCCUCCUGGUGCGAAGAGGUGGCAAAUGUCAUAUUUUAAUUUCAUAAAGGGCUGUUAUUAAAUUUGAGCUAUUAAAUCAUCCUUAGUUUGUCCCAAGUGUGAAUGGGCACACAUUGUAGGCAGGAUUUUGCAUGGACAUGCUGUGUAUUGACAAUACCAGGAUGCACUGAUGUUACAGGGCUUACAGGUUAAAUCAAUUGUUUAUUCAUUUUUUUCAACUGAAACAAUUAGUUUAACAUAUAAAUGUGAUCAUCACCCAUGAUUUACACUCCCUCCAAGACCUCAGGAAGCAUCUUUUAAGCCAUUCCACUUUGUGAGACUGUAAGAAAUCCCACAAAAGCUCACAAUUAAUUUUAAUUCUGCUUUCCAGCCUCUUUUCAUUUCAUUGUAAUUUUAGAAGCUUCAGCAAUGUCUGUGUUCAGACUUUGAAACACUCAUGACAGAUGUCACAAUUCUGCCUUCACCUCACAGUGAUUGGCUGCCACCAGGAUGUUUUUUGACUUUCAUUUGCAUUUUCAAGUUGAACAGUAUCCUUUUGAUAGUGUUACCACUUGAAUGUUUGUUAAAAUAAAAAUGGAUAUAUGAAUAAAAAACAGAACUUAAAAAUAUAUAAAAAUGUAAAAUGACAAAUAGUAAUUAAAAAAUAAUAAAUGUAACAUUUUUAACACAGCUGAAUUUUCAGCAGCCAUUACUCCAGUAUUCAGUGUCACAUAGUCCUUCAGAAAUCAUUAUAAUAUGCUGAUUUGGUGCUCAAGAAAUACUUUUUUAUUAUCAACAUUCAAAACAGAUAGUUCAAAAGCACAUUUAUUUGAAAUGCAUUAUUUUAAAUAAAGUAAAAGUAGUUACUCUGACUUU